UGCCCACGUCCAGGGAGUGCAAGCACAUGGCAGCAAGAAGUUAAUAUUUUUCAUUGAUUGGUGUUUCUAAAAUUUGUUAAUUCCUAUUGCAGCUACUCCUUCCACAGAAAGAACAAUCAUAUCGAUGCCAUGCUUCUAUUAUUUAUUUGUGACUGAAACAAAUCUAGCUUUUAUCCUUUAAAGUUUCUAAAAUACAUAUGUGCUUUACAAAAAACAAUGUGAUUUUCUCUAAUGAUUUACAACUAAACCAUCUGUGUACAAAUCAUGGCAUCUUAUUUGUCAGAUGCUCUAAUAUUAUUUUCUAUAAUUUUUGUUGAUUAUAUCUUACAUAUCUUCACGUUGGUCAUAUGCAGUAGUAUAUGUAUGUAAGAUAUAUAUCGUUUCGUGAGCAGGUUCUUAAACCACUAAAUAUGUCAACAUCAAACAUGAAGUUGAUCGAUGGGCUCCAGUUUUCAUCACUGUUUUUGCAUGGACACAUGAUGUGUAGCAUGAACUGGUACAAACUUUGGCCUAUGUUGACUGCUUUGGUCAGUUCAGUAAGUAGUUUUUGUCUUCCCCUUUUGCAGCAGAAAGUGUAGAUACAACUGUUGCUUAGAUUGUGGAUUUGCAGUUUUGGAUGGUUUUUAGGCUAAUGACAGGUGUUUGCUGAUUCUGAAGAUGUACUUGUUCACUUGUUUUUUCGGAAGUCAUGAGCAUCACUUGGUAUUUAAUAACUGCAGUGAGAAAAACUCGUGAGUUUGAUGCCA